rnacentral:rRNA from 1 species
CCUACGGGAGGCAGCAGUCGGGAAUCUUGCACAAUGGGCGAAAGCCUGAUGCAGCAACACCGUGUGAGCGAUGAAGGCCCUAGGGUCGUAAAGCUCUGUUGUUAGGGACGAAGGGCGAAGGGUCAAUAGCCCUUGGCCUGACGGUACCUUUCGAGGAAGCCCCGGCUAACUACGUGCCAGCAGCCGCGGUAAUACGUAGGGGGCGAGCGUUGUCCGGAAUUAUUGGGCGUAAAGAGCGUGUAGGCGGCUUGGUAAGUCUGCUGUGAAACCUUGAGGCUCAACCCCAAGCGUGCAGUGGAUACUGUCAAGCUAGAGGAUGGUAGAGGCCAGUGGAAUUCCCGGUGUAGCGGUGAAAUGCGCAGAUAUCGGGAGGAACACCAGUAGCGAAGGCGGCUGGCUGGGCCAUCCUGACGCUUAAACCCCAAAGCUAGGGGAACGAACAGGAUUAAAUACCCUGGUAGUCCUAACCCUAAACGAUGAACACUAAGUGUGGGGGGAAUCCAAUCCCUCCCUGCCCAAACCAACGCGUUAAGUGUUCCGCCCGGGGAAUACGGCCGCAAGGCUAAAACUCAAAUGAAUUGACGGGG